UACGUAGGGCGCAAGCGUUAUCCGGAAUUAUUGGGCGUAAAGAGCUCGUAGGCGGUCUGUCGCGUCGAAUGUGAAAACCCGGGGCUCAACUCCGGGCUUGCAUUCGAUACGGGCAGGCUAGAGUUCGGUAGGGGAGUCUGGAAUUCCUGGUGUAGCGGUGAAAUGCGCAGAUAUCAGGAGGAACACCGGUGGCGAAGGCGGGUCUCUGGGCAGUAACUGACGCUGAGGAGCGAAAGCGUGGGGAGCGAACAGG
rnacentral:rRNA from 1 species